rnacentral:rRNA from 1 species
UCCGGUUGAUCCUGCCGGGCCCGACUGCUAUCAGAGUGGGACUAAGCCAUGCGAGUCAACAUAGCAAUAUGUGGCAUACGGCUCAGUAACACGUAGUCAACAUGCCCAGGGGACGUGGAUAACCUCGGGAAACUGAGGAUAAACCGCGAUAAGUCACUGCUUCUGGAAUGGGCAAUGACUUAAAUCUAUAUGGCCCCUGGAUUGGACUGCGGCCGAUCAGGCUGUUGGUGAGGUAAUGGCCCACCAAACCUGUAACCGGUACGGGCUCUGAGAGGAGGAGCCCGGAGAUGGGCACUGAGACAAGGGCCCAGGCCCUAUGGGGCGCAGCAGGCGCGAAACCUCUGCAAUAGGCGAAAGCCUGACAGGGUUACUCUGAGUGAUUUCCGUUAAGGAGAUCUUUUGGCACCUCUAAAAAUGGUGCAGAAUAAGGGGUGGGCAAGUCUGGUGUCAGCCGCCGCGGUAAUACCAGCACCCCGAGUGGUCGGGACGUUUAUUGGGCCUAAAGCAUCCGUAGCCGGUUCUGCAAGUCUUCCGUUAAAUCCACCUGCUUAACAGAUGGGCUGCGGAAGAUACUAUAGAGCUAGGAGGCGGGAGAGGCAAGCGGUACUCGAUGGGUAGGGGUAAAAUCCGUUGAUCCAUUGAAGACCACCAGUGGCGAAGGCGGCUUGCCAGAACGCGCUCGACGGUGAGGGAUGAAAGCUGGGGGAGCAAACCGGAUUAGAUACCCGGGUAGUCCCAGCUGUAAACGAUGCAGACUCGGUGAUGAAUUGGCUUUAUGCCAAUUCAGUGCCGCAGGGAAGCCGUUAAGUUUGCCGCCUGGGGAGUACGGUCGCAAGACUGAAACUUAAAGGAAUUGGCGGGGGAGCACCACAAGGGGUGAAGCCUGCGGUUCAAUUGGAGGCAACGCCGGAAAUCUUACCGGGGGCGACAGCAGAAUGAAGGUCAAGCUGAAGACUUUACCAGACAAGCUGAGAGGAGGUGCAUGGCCGUCGCCAGCUCGUGCCGUGAGGUGUCCUGUUAAGUCAGGUAACGAGCGAGACCCCUGCCUCUAGUUGCUACCAUUAUUCUCAGGAGUAGUGGAGCUAAUUAGAGGGACUGCCGUCGCUGAGACGGAGGAAGGAGGGGGCUACGGCAGGUCAGUAUGCCCCGAAACCCUCGGGCCACACGCGGGCUGCAAUGGUAAGGACAAUGAGUAUCGAUUCCGAAAGGAGGAGGCAAUCUCUAAACCUUACCACAGUUAUGAUUGAGGGCUGAAACUCGCCCUCAUGAAUAUGGAAUCCCUAGUAACCGCGUGUCACUAUCGCGCGGUGAAUACGUCCCUGCUCCUUGCACACACCGCCCGUCGCUUCAUCGAAGUUGGUUCUUGGCGAGGUGAUGCCUAAUUGGUACUAUCGAACCUGGGGUCAGCAACGAGGGAG